rnacentral:tRNA from 1 species
GGGGAAAUGCCGGAGCGGUCAAACGGGAUGCGUUAAGGGCGCAUUGGCUUAUGCCUACGGGGGUUCGAAUCCUCCUUUCCCCA